rnacentral:rRNA from 1 species
AUUGAACGCUGGCGGCAGGCCUAACACAUGCAAGUCGAGCGGAGCGGCGGACGGGUGAGUACUGCCUAGGAAUCUGCCUGGUAGUGGGGGAUAACGUCCGGAAACGGGCGCUUAUACCGCAUACUAUCAGAUCAGCCUCGGUCGGAGUAGCUAGUUGGUGGGGUAAAGGCCUACCUAGGCGACGAUCCCUAGCUGGUCUGAGAGGAUGACCAGCCACACUGGAACUGAGACACGGUCCAGACUCCUACGGGAGGCAGCAGUAGGGAAUAUUGCACAAUGGGCGCAAGCCUGAUGCAGCCAUGCCGCGUGUAUGAAGAAGGCCUUCGGGUUGUAAAGUACUUUCAGCGGGGAGGCGUUACCCGCAGAGGAAGCACCGGCUAACUACGUGCCAGCAGCCGCGGUAAUUC